rnacentral:rRNA from 1 species
UACGUAGGGUGCGAGCGUUAAUCGGAAUUACUGGGCGUAAAGCGUGCGCAGGCGGUUUUGUAAGCCAGAUGUGAAAGCCCCGGGCUUAACCUGGGAAUGGCAUUUGGGACUGCAAGGCUGGAGUGUGGCAGAGGAGACUGGAAUUUCUGGUGUAGCAGUGAAAUGCGUAGAUAUCAGGAGGAAUACCGAUGGCGAAGGCAGGUCUCUGGGCUGACACUGACGCUCAUGCACGAAAGCGUGGGGAGCAAACAGG